rnacentral:rRNA from 1 species
GUAGGGAAUCUUCCACAAUGGACGAAAGUCUGAUGGAGCAACGCCGCGUGAGUGAAGAAGGUCUUCGGAUCGUAAAACUCUGUUGUUAGAGAAGAACGUGCAUGAUAGUAACUGAUCAUGUAAUGACGGUAUCUAACCAGAAAGCCACGGCUAACUACGUGCCAGCAGCCGCGGUAAUACGUAGGUGGCAAGCGUUGUCCGGAUUUAUUGGGCGUAAAGGGAACGCAGGCGGUUUUUUAAGUCUGAUGUGAAAGCCUUCGGCUUAACCGAAGAAUAGCAUUGGAAACUGGAAGACUUGAGUGCAGAAGAGGAGAGUUGAAUUCCAUGUGUAGCGGUUAAAUGCGUAGAUAUAUGGAGGAACACCAGUGGCGAAAGCGGCUCUCUGGUCUGUAACUGACGCUGAGGUUCGAAAGCGUGGGUAGCAAACAGGAUUAGAAACCCGAGUAGUCC